GACGAACGCUGGCGGCAUGCCUAAUACAUGCAAGUCGAACGCAGUGGGGACGGGUGAGUAACACGUGGGUAACCUCCCAUCAGAGGGGAUAACACUUGGCAACAGGUGCUAAACCGAUACUGAUGGAUGGACCCGCGGUGCAUUAGCUAGUUGGUGAGGUAACGGCUCACCAGGGCCACGAUGCAUAGACGACCUGAGCGGGUGAUCGGCCACACUGGAACUGAGACACGGCCCAGACUCCUACGGGUGGCAGCAGUAGGGAAUCUUGGACAAUGGACGGAAGUCUGACUGAGCAACGCCGCGUGUAUGAAGAAGGUUUUCGGGUCGUAAAGCUCUUUUGUUAGAGAAGCGGUAGCCAACGAGAAAGCCACGGCUAACUACGUGCCAGCAGCCGCGGUAAUAC
rnacentral:rRNA from 1 species